UACGUAGGGGGCAAGCGUUGUCCGGAAUUAUUGGGCGUAAAGAGCUCGUAGGCGGCUUGUCACGUCGGGUGUGAAAGCCCGGGGCUUAACCCCGGGGUCUGCAUUCGAUACGGGCUAGCUAGAGUGUGGUAGGGGAGAUCGGAAUUCCUGGUGUAGCGGUGAAAUGCGCAGAUAUCAGGAGGAACACCGGUGGCGAAGGCGGAUCUCUGGGCCAUUACUGACGCUGAGGAGCGAAAGCGUGGGGGAGCGAACAGG
rnacentral:rRNA from 1 species